UUUUGAGGCAGCUACCAGAAGGGAGCACCAAGCAGAUGCAGCUCCCCUUCCCUCCCAUUCCACCAUCCACUGUCCCCAGCAAGAACCUGCGGGAGGGUGGCCCAAUGGGGAGGCCAGACCCUCCUAGACCAGCUGGAACCACCAUCAAGAUGUCCCCAGCCAUGUCAGACUCUGGGGCCCCAGGCGGAGGGCAACCAGAUGUCUUCAGCUCCAAGUCUGGCCUCUCCUCCCAGCAAGCAGCCACCUCUGAUGGCCAACAGGUGCUGCUGUGUGCCCAGAUCAAGAAUCCACCUCUGCGGAAUUCAAAACCGCUGAGGGUUCUGGGACAGCAGGGAGGAG
rnacentral:lncRNA from 1 species